rnacentral:rRNA from 1 species
AACCCGACCUCCACGAAGUUGGAUUCGCUAGUAAUCGCGCAUCAGCCAUGGCGCGGUGAAUACGUUCCCGGGUCUUGUACACACCGCCCGUCACACCAUGGGAGUUGGAAGCGCCCGAAGUCUGUGACCUAACCGUGAGGGAGGAGCAGCCGAAGGUGAAGCCAGUGACUGGGGUGAAGUCGUAACAAGGUACC